AUCGCUUUACCACACCCUCUCUAUUCGGGAGAUUGACAAAACAAUAAUAUCAAUUAUAUCUUGUUCAUGAAGACCGUGGUUUUGCUGAUUAAAUUAAAAUGAGAUAAAGUAACGCAAAAGAAACAACACAAAACAUAUCUUUCUCAUUCGCAACAUUUCAACUUUGGCUGUAAAGGAUGGCUGAUACAGGCAAACUGAACCCUGACCCUUCAACCUGGGAGGGUUGGUUCUACUCGAUAGUACUGAUGGCUGCCAAAGAUCCUUGGGGAUUUCUCUACUAUGUGUUUCUUGGUCUGUCUCCAAUUUUCAUGAUCUCUCUUUACCUCACAUGGAAGCUGACGAAAGAGUUGGAGGCAAAAGAAAAAGACAAAAAGAGGAAAGCUAGAAGGGACGCAAACCACGCUAAAGCCAGAAAGUCGCACAAGUCUGACUGAGAAUGACGAGAUAGUCACCAUACACAAACGAAGCAAGAAUCGAGUUUACAAUACUUUCUUUCGCAGUUUUGUAAUUGAAUGCUUCGCAGUGAUUUUUAUAUUUACAUUCUGAAAAUUUUAAUAAUGUUCAUUCCGGUUUGUAAAUGUACAAUAAAAUGACUUUUUUCAGAUGCAUUCCUUGA